AUGUGUUAUUUAUUAUAAUCCGCAAAUUUUCACUUUACAGAUGAGAAAACUGAGACUUCAAAAGAGAAAGUAUUUUGCCCAGAGCUUCAGUGAUUUUACCAACUAACCUUCCCCUUCGGGCUCAACCGCCCUCUGCUCUCUAUAUCUUUAUUCCCAUAGCCUGAACAACAGACUCGGAGGAUGGCCCCUUCUCAGCCUGGAUCCCAGAAUUAUGUGGCACUUUCUUCUUUGGGACAAACCUGGACUGAGUUGGGAGAAGUAGGCUGGCAAAUCGGAACUCAGGCUGUUUCGGAAACUUGUAGGAUCCGGGAUAUAGAAUUGCAAGAAAGCUAUGAGAAAAAGAAGGGUCAGAAAACAGAUGACUUCGCCAACAUUAUACAGAAGGUCUGUGGUCCUGCCACAAAUUCAAGUUCUUUUCAUUACUUCCUGUUGUUUCAUCUGUUAUUCAUUUUUUAUAUAGAUGAUGAAAACCAAAUGACUUCUUAAACCAGUCCAUCUCGACCAUGCCAUGUUUCAUAAUCUAAGGUCUCUUCCAGCUCUCAUAUUCUAUGUCCCAAGUUCCCUUCCAGCUCUUACAACCCGUGAUGCUACUUUUUUUACAUACCCCAGAGGCUAUUCCUUUGUACAGACCCAUACUCCCUACCCUUAGGCAGCAGUUAUCCCGACAUCACCUCUUCCCCUUGCUUUCGGAGAUGCCACUUUAGAAGAAGCAUCUCCCACUGCUGAGAAAGGUGGGAGGAAUGACAGAGGGGGCCCAGGGAUGGGCUGAAUACUGCAGAGUGACCUGCCUAGGGUCUGGGUGGAAGAAAGAGACAGUCUGAAGCCCAUUGUUUAUAAGAACAUCUCUCCCCUGAUUGAUGUUGGCCCUGUGGAAGUCUGUUUGCAAGUUUCUCCUGAAAACAUGAA
rnacentral:lncRNA from 1 species